rnacentral:tRNA from 1 species
UUGAUAGCUCAGUUGGGAGAGCGUCAGACUGAAGGUCUGAAGGCAUGUGUUCGAUAC